CAAUAGCGUAUAUUAAAGUUGUUGCAGUUAAAAAGCUCGUAGUUGGAUUUGUGGCGUACGGUGUGUUCCGGGCACUUGUUGUCUGAGUAACCUGCUGUUGCCAUCCUUGGGUGGAACCUGUGUGGCAUUAGGUUGUCGUGCAGGGGAUGCCCAUCAUUUACUGUGAAAAAAUUAGAGUGUUCAAAGCAGGCUUAUGCCGUUGAAUAUAUUAGCAUGGAAUAAUGAGAUAGGACUUUUUUGCUAUUUUGUUGGUUUGCGCAAAGAGGUAAUGAUUAAUAGGGACAGUUGGGGGUAUUCGUAUUCCAUUGUCAGAGGUGAAAUUCUUGGAUUUUUGGAAGGCGAACUACUGCGAAAGCAUUUACCAAGGAUGUUUUCAUUAA
rnacentral:rRNA from 1 species